CCAGGAUAGAAACAGACCUGGGUUCUUGUGAUCUUACUGAUUCCGUUUGCACCAGCUCUGUCUGCCCGCCUGCUGUAUUCUGGCUCUGUGGCUGCAGGCCCUUCAGCCAUUUUCCUUUUAGAGAAGCAGUGGCCUAAGGGAGAGAGACGUUUGCUGCCUCGUGGAUGACAGGUGGAGGGUUGGAAAGGGAAGAGGCGGGCAGAGAGGAUGAGG
rnacentral:lncRNA from 1 species